GGUCGAUUGCGGCUCAGAUUGAACGCUGGCGGGAUGCUUUACACAUGCAAGUCGAACGGCAGCACGGACUUCGGUCUGGUGGCGAGUGGCGAACGGGUGAGUAAUGUAUCGGAACGUGCCUAGUAGCGGGGGAUAACUACGCGAAAGCGUAGCUAAUACCGCAUACGCCCUUCGGGGGAAAGCGGGGGACCUUUCGGGCCUCGCACUAUUAGAGCGCGGCUGGGAUAUCGGAUUAGCUAGUUGGUGGGGUAACGGCUCACCGCUAUGACGAUCCGUAGCUUUUGGUUUGAGGACGACCAGCCACACUGGGACUGAGACACGGCUCAGACUCCUACGGGAGGCAGCAGUGGGGAAUUUUGGAUUAAUGGGGGUAAAACCCUGAUCCAGCCAUCCAUGUGUGCGAUGAAGGCCUUCGGGUUGUAAAGCACUUUGCGCAGGAAAGAAACGGCACGGGAUAAUACCCCGUGCAACUGACGGUACCUGCAGAAUAAGCACCGGCUAACUACGUGCCAGCAGCCGCGGUAAUACGUAGGGUGCAAGCGUUAAUCGGAAUUACUGGGCGUAAAGCGUGCAGCAGGCGGUUCGGAAAGAAAGAUGUGAAAUCCCAGAGCUUAACUUUUGAACUGCAUUUUUAACUACCGAGCUAGAGUGUGUCAGAGGGAGGUGGAAUUCCCGCGUGUAGCAGUGAAAUGCGUAGAUAUGCGGAGGAACACCGAUGGCGAAGGCAGCCUCCUGGGAUAACACUGACGCUCAUGCACGAAAGCGUGGGGAGCAAACAGGAUUAGAUACCCUGGUAGUCCACGCCCUAAACGAUGUCAACUAGCUGCUGGGGCCUUCGGCUCCUGGUAGCGCAGCUAACGCGUGAAGUUGACCGCCUGGGGAGUACGGUCGCAAGAUUAAAACUCAAAGGAAUUGACGGGGACCCGCACAAGCGGUGGAUGAUGUGGAUUAAUUCGAUGCAACGCGAAAACCUUACCUACCCUUGACAUGUCUGGAAUCCCGAAGAGAUUUGGGAUGUUCGCAAGAGAACCGAACACAGGUGCUGCAUGGCUGUCAGUCAGCUCGUGUCGAGAUGUUGGGUUAAGUCCUGCAACGAGCGGGCAACUCCUUGUCAUUAGUUGCUACGAAAGGGCACUCUAAUGAGACUGCCGGUGACAAACCGGAGGAAGGUGGGGAUGACGUCAAGUCCUCAUGGCCCUUAUGCGGCAGGGCUUGACACGUCAUACAAUGGUCGGGACAGAGGGCUCAACCCGCGAGGGGGAGCCAAUCCCAGAAACCCGAUCGUAGUCCGGAUCGCAGUCUGCAACUCGACUGCGUGAAGUCGGAAUCGCUAGUAAUCGCGGAUCAGCAUGUCGCGGUGAAUACGUUCCCGGGUCUUGUACACACCGCCCGUCACACCAUGGGAGUGGGUUUUACCAGAAGUAGUUAGCCUAACCGUAAGGAGGGCGAUUACCACGGUAGGAUUCAUGAUCAGGGGUGAAGUCGUAACAAGGUAG
rnacentral:rRNA from 1 species